GAAGAAAUGUUUAGAUUUACAGGCAAUCAAAGCUAUAACACUUUUAAAACGUUCACCUCUUUCUUUUUUUUACUUUUUUUUCUCUUUAUUUUUUUCUGUUGGCAGGAAUGAGUGUAAUAAACAAUCACAUAGCUGGUCACAGUGAAGACUGGUACAUCUUGUCUGGAUAGCAAGUGACAAAAUGUUUCCAAGCCCUAAAGCUGAUUAUCCUCUUUGAUGCAAACAUCUGUAUAUGAUCUAUAAAGGUUCCCUCUCGAAAUAGAGGAGCGUGGCACUUCAAUGAGGAACCAGGUUGGAUCUGGCAACUUUGGCUCACAGUGACAAGGAUGAAGAUGGUAGCUUUUUACAUGAAUAUUUUCCCACUGGAAUGGGUCCUCAAUAGAGAAAGGAUGGUGCACUUUAUGGAGAUUCUACAAUCCACUGAACAACCACAAUCAGCUCAUUUCACAAGUUUAUGGCUUAAGACUAGACUUGGACAAGAAGAAAUGGCUGUGUCAUUAUAUACUUAACUUACAUCCAUUGAAUCCCUCACUAAAAACCCACAACAUGUGUAUGUUGGGCAAGAAGACAACAGAGAAGGGGAAGAGGAGCUUUUUCAAACUGCCCUUUCUAACAGAGAGAUGUUGUUAAAGGGAAUAUGUUGAUAUAGAAAUGGCUAGAGGCAGAAAAGCAGUUUAGAACCACUUCCUUCCUUAAGUCCCACAGCUCCAGCUUAAGCUCUAAUUCGUUGAGGCCAUGGUGCCAUUUGAGGGCACUGAAGCAAUAACUUGUCACAUAAUACCUCUCCAAGAGUGCCGAACUUAAAAGCAGUUCCCAAACAGUUUAGACAGAACACUUGGCUCAUUGCCUCACAUCCAAAAACUACAAAGGAGACUUGAAGCUGCCAUCACAUGAGGGGCAGUCUUGUUUCCACAACCUCAGCCAACUUUUAAUCACUCAUGGGUCAAUGAUUUGACUGCUGGAUUAGCAGACCCUACGUUUCUUCCCUUCCACCCUUUCCUGUCCACCUUUGAAAGUCAUUUCAUUGCUACCAAUCACUUUCAAAUCACAUCGGGCACAAAAAUUAAAUAUAAACUGACUGCCAAGAAGAAAUAUCCACAAAUCAGAAUUCAAGUAAGUGUUUCAAAGCCCAAACAUAAAUGAGCUCUGUCUAUGUGGCUAAGCAGUUUUCCACCCCCUGGUCUCUUCACAUUAUUCAGAGUUGGAAUGUUCAUUAAUUUCAUGUGAAUAUAAGAGUUGAGGAGAGGAAUGAAAAUGCAGCCAAACACAACCAUCACAUUUUGCUGAAAGAGUUGAUGGGGAAAAAAAAACAGGCACCAAUGGUUGUUGUAUCACCUAACUGGGCUUUACAUUGCUAGUUUCAUUCCGUCCUUUAUAAGUACACAUUGUUGUGUGUUUUAACUUGGAUUCAAUACUUCAGCUACUUCUUAUUUUCUACCAUUGUAACAUUAAAGGAAACUGCAUCUCUGCAUAAAACAAAAGGUAAUAUAGCUUGUAGGUUUGCUUUGCAUUGCAAAGAACAUACUUGCUUAAGACAAUCAAGUGUCGAACCAUGGACACCUGCUACGGAGAUUCCAAUUGUGGGAUCUUCUUUUAUCAACUAAAAAGCUUAAUGCCCAGCGUGAACAUCCACGCUGUGCCAACAGUGAAGAGAUCAGACACAUGCCAACAUUAUUAGUGUGGGUAAAAUGUCAAUAAAGCAGAGCCAGUGUGCUGAAAGCCUAAGUACAUUAACUCCAUGCCUUUAUCCACUUCUCUUGCAGUGAAAUUCUGUCCUGUCAAAGUUGACUUCAUAAUCACGUGCUCGAUGAAAUGAUAUAUGCAUGCGAUGGCACAAAUUAUGCAUCCAGUUAUUGAAAUGGUGCCCCACAGCCCUAUCCCUGCAAGUGGUUUCCAAAUAAAUUACUUUGGAUGAAGCCUGGUAGAAAAGAUGACCAUCAAGUGUAGUAUAUCCUUUUGAGGAAUUAACUCAGGAAAUAACUUACAUAAUUACUGUAAGCUUUAUUUCCCUUCCUCUUAAAGAGUCUAGUGAAUGUAUCAAGGCCACAGCAUUCUUCUGUGAUGUUAU
rnacentral:lncRNA from 10 species